AGAGUUGAUCAUGGCUCAGGAUGAACGCUAGCUACAGGCUUAACACAUGCAAGUCGAGGGGCAGCAUUGGAGUAGCAAUACUCAGAUGGCGACCGGCGCACGGGUGAGUAACACGUAUCCAACCUGCCGCUUACUCGGGGAUAGCCUUUCGAAAGAAAGAUUAAUACCCGAUGGUAUAAAGAGUUCGCAUGUUCUCUUUAUUAAAGAAUUUCGGUAAGCGAUGGGGAUGCGUUCCAUUAGAUAGUUGGCGGGGUAACGGCCCACCAAGUCUACGAUGGAUAGGGGUUCUGAGAGGAAGGUCCCCCACAUUGGAACUGAGACACGGUCCAAACUCCUACGGGAGGCAGCAGUGAGGAAUAUUGGUCAAUGGACGAGAGUCUGAACCAGCCAAAAGUAGCGUGAAGGAUGACUGCCCUAUGGGUUGUAAACUUCUUUUAUAAGGGAAUAAAGUGAGGGACGUGUCCCUUUUUGUAUGUACCUUAUGAAUAAGGAUCGGCUAACUCCGUGCCAGCAGCGGC
rnacentral:rRNA from 1 species